rnacentral:rRNA from 1 species
UACGUAGGGUGCGAGCGUUAAUCGGAAUUACUGGGCGUAAAGCGUGCGCAGGCGGUGAUGUAAGACAGGUGUGAAAUCCCCGGGCUUAACCUGGGAACUGCAUUUGUGACUGCAUCGCUGGAGUGCGGCAGAGGGGGAUGGAAUUCCGCGUGUAGCAGUGAAAUGCGUAGAUAUGCGGAGAACACCGAUGGCGAAGGCAAUCCCCUGGGCCUGCACUGACGCUCAUGCACGAAAGCGUGGGGAGCAAACAGG